CAUCGCCUCUUGAUUAAAUAUAAGAGGUUCAGCCUGCCCAGUGACAUAGUUUAACGGCCGCGGUACCCUAACCGUGCGAAGGUAGCAUAAUCACUUGUUCCUUAAAUAGGGACUCGUAUCAACGGCAUCACGAGGGCUGUACUGUCUCCUUUCUCCAAUCAGUGAAACUGAUCUCCCCGUGAAGAAGCGGGGAUAAGCCUAUAAGACGAGAAGACCCCAUGGAGCUUUAAACCCAUCACGCACCUCUACGCACUAAAAACAAUAAAGCCUAAGAGGCUUGUGUGCUGGUUUUAGGUUGGGGUGACCAAGGAGUAAAAUCAAACCUCCACGACAGACGGACUAAUAUCCUUAUCCACGAACCACAAUUCUAAGAGCCAAUAAAUUGUUGUCUAAUGACCCAAUUACUUGAUCAACGAACCAAGUUACCCUGGGGAUAACAGCGCAAUCUACUUCAAGAGCCCCUAUCGACAAGUAGGUUUACGACCUCGAUGUUGGAUCAGGGUGUCCUAGUGGUGCAACCGCUGCUAAAGG
rnacentral:rRNA from 1 species